AUAAAUACAAAACUUUGAAGUCUCUCUCCUGUUGCCACUAGGGUUUCUAAAAUUUUCAACUAGUGCCACCCAGUAUUCCUCUUCCACUUCCAGAUUUGGUAGAUGAUAAUUCCUCUUUGCUAAAAAAGUCACUUGUAAAGAAAUCAAUUCUUCAGAGUUCACAACAUCCACCAACUUCCACUCUGAAUCCUGCAAAAAAAUUCAUAAGAUGGUACUACUACUAGCAACGACAAAAUUAUCACUAAAAUUACCUACCUUGUUGGAAUUAUUUAUUCUAUUCACAGCAUCCUUAGCAACAGUUUCAAUCUCAUGAUGGGGUUUUUCGUUGUUUGCCUCCUCUAAGGGUAAAGUGUACUCUUGUAGUCCAACUGAAUCCAUGAACUUGUCGCCUACAACCAGCACUGCUGUUAUGAAAACCUUCCCACUCACCAAAAUCGAGCUUUAGAAUUUUGUUCCCAUAAUCAGAUGAAACUACCCUUUUUUUGCCUGGUUUUAAUUGACCAGGUGUAUUUUAAUUUCAAAUCUAUUUAUUAAAUUUGUUGAAUGUUUCUCAAAGUAAAGUCUAAUUUGGUGAUAAUUUGUGAAUAAGCUUAUUUGAAAGAAGCAAUUCUGAAAGGGGAAUACAGUAUCUCAAAUUUGAUAAGAGCUUUAUAACGGAAUAGAUUUCUUUGCGGUAAUAAUCUAAUUUUAGACUUGCCUGAUCAACAUACCCACUGUUACUCUCUUCUCCCAGUUUUGGAUUUGAACUCAUAAUUGCCAUCUAUUCUAUUUUGAAUUCCAACCAUCUGCUUCUUUUAGUUGUUCAAUGCCUAUGUAUUUAUCAUAUU
rnacentral:lncRNA from 1 species